CGGGUGACCGGAUUCAGACACACUCCGAAUGCGAAUUAAUUUAACGUGGGAGUCAGGGCAGGGGCGAUAAGGUCCGUGUUCGAAAGGGAAACAGCCCAGACCACCAGCUAAGGUCCCAAAAUAUAUGUUAAGUGGAAAAGGAUGUGGCGUUGCCCAGACAACUAGGAUGUUGGCUUAGAAGCAGCCAUCAUUUAAAGAGUGCGUAAUAGCUCACUAGUCGAGUGACACUGCGCCGAAAAUGUACCGGGGCUAAACAUAUUACCGAAGCUGGGGAUUGUCCUUUGGACAAUGGUAGGAGAGCGUUCUAAGGGCGUCGAAGCCUGAUCGCAAGGACAUGUGGAGCGCUGAGAGGUGAGAAUGCCGGUGUGAGUAGCGAAAGACGGGUGAGAAUCCCGUCCACCGAUUGACUAAGGUUUCCAGAGGAAGGCUCGUCCGCUCUGGGUUAGUCGGGUCCUAAGCUGAGGCCGACAGGCGUAGGCGAUGGAUAACAGGUUGAUAUUCCUGUACCACCUAGUAUCGUUUUAAUCGAUGGGGGGACGCAGUAGGAUAGGCGAAGCGUGCUGUUGGAGUGCACGUCCAAGCAGUAAGG
rnacentral:rRNA from 1 species